rnacentral:rRNA from 1 species
GAUGAACGCUGGCGGCGUGCCUAAUACAUGCAAGUCGAGCGAACAGAUGAGGAGCUUGCUCCUCUGACGUUAGCGGCGGACGGGUGAGUAACACGUGGAUAACCUACCUAUAAGACUGGGAUAACUUCGGGAAACCGGAGCUAAUACCGGAUAAUAUAUUGAACCGCAUGGUUCAAUAGUGAAAGACGGUUUUGCUGUCACUUAUAGAUGGAUCCGCGCCGCAUUAGCUAGUUGGUAAGGUAACGGCUUACCAAGGCAACGAUGCGUAGCCGACCUGAGAGGUGGGGGGCCCACAGGAGAACAGCAACAGCGCCAAGCCACCUGAGGGGGGCAGAGUAGGGAAGUGUGCAGAAAGGGAAGAGAGCUUGAGGGGACAAGGCCGAGGGAGGCACAAAGGUGUCGGGACCGAAAAACUGUUUUAUGGGGGAAGAAAAAGUGUAAAAGAAAAAAGGCACUUCGUGAGGGUACCAAAUAAAAAAGCCACGGCAAACUCCGUC